rnacentral:rRNA from 1 species
GUCUUUGAACGCAAGUUGCGCCCGAAGCCAUUAGGCCGAGGGCACGUCUGCCUGGGCGUCACGCAUCGCGUCGCCCCCGCACACCGCGCCCAUUCUCAUGGUUGCGGUGCUGUCGUGGGACGGAUACUGGCCUCCCGUGCUCCUCGAGCGUGCGGUUGGCC